rnacentral:rRNA from 1 species
UACGUAGGGUCCGAGCGUUGUCCGGAAUUAUUGGGCGUAAAGGGCUCGUAGGCGGCCUGUCGCGUCGGGCGUGGAAACUUACAGCUUAACUGUGAGCGUGCUUCCGAUACGGGCAGACUUGAGGUAUUCAGGGGAGAACGGAAUUCCUGGUGUAGCGGUGAAAUGCGCAGAUAUCAGGAGGAACACCGGUGGCGAAGGCGGGUCUCUGGGCCGUAACUGACGCUGAGGAGCGAAAGCAUGGGGAGCGAACAGG